CAGACUCCUACGGGAGGCAGCAGUGGGGAAUAUUGCACAAUGGGGGAAACCCUGAUGCAGCGACGCCGCGUGGAGGAAGAAGGUCUUCGGAUUGUAAACUCCUGUUGUUGAGGAAGAUAAUGACGGUACUCAACAAGGAAAGUGACGGCUAACUACGUGC
rnacentral:rRNA from 1 species